AUUGAACGCUGGCGGAAUGCUUUACACAUGCAAGUCGAACGGCAGCACGGAUUUCGGUCUGGUGGCGAGUGGCGAACGGGUGAGUAAUGUAUCGGAACGUGCCCAGUCGUGGGGGAUAACGUAGUGAAAAUUACGCUAAUACCGCAUACGAUCUAUGGAUGAAAGCGGGGGAUCGCAAGACCUCGCGCGAUUGGAGCGGCCGAUAUCAGAUUAGGUAGUUGGUGGGGUAAAGGCCCACCAAGCCAACGAUCUGUAGCUGGUCUGAGGGGACGACCAGCCAAACUGGAACUGAGACACGGUCCAGACUCCUACGGGAGGCAGCAGUGGGGAAUUUUGGACAAUGGGCGAAAGCCUGAUCCAGCCAUUCCGCGUGCAGGAUGAAGGCCCUCGGGUUGUAAACUGCUUUUGUACAGAACGAAAAGGUUUCUACUAAUACUAGGAGCUCAUGACGGUACUGUAAGAAUAAGCACCGGCUAACUACGUGCCAGCCGCCGCAGUAA
rnacentral:rRNA from 1 species